AUGUUCCAGCACUCUUUCCUUCAGAGCACGUAGUAGGAUUUUAUUUUCUACACCUUCCAUGGAUUAGGUUAUUCCAGUCCCUGAAGUUCUGUCUGUGAGAAAAAGAAGACAGGAGAGUCCAGACACACCAACAGGUUUUCCAGGGUUGGAAUUAUGCCCCUGGCCAGUGGUGACUGAUAGUUCUCCCUGAGACCAACCUCUGCCCAGACUGUGAAAGGACAACUUGCAUAUCUUCUGUUGCUGAGUUCCUUCUGGAGAGAAACUACGGUUACCUUCUGUUGAGCUGCCUCGCCAUAGAUCUCCUGCCUCGAUUGCCAGGCUAGGAAGCCUCACCUGCAAUUGUGAAAUGUCAAGCAGAAGUUGAGGUAAAAGAGGAACAAGAAAAUUUUCUUCUGCCCAUUGUACACUUCUAAGAUUAAAGAAAGAGUCUAAAGCUUUUUGAAACCUCUGUACAAGGACAUUUCAACCUCAUUGUUUACAAAAUCAAAGAAAGUAAACUAAUUUUCAUUCCUCAGAUUCUUGAGAAUUAGAAAUGGUGAAGUUUUUUGGUAAAUAUGGCCAGCCAAAAAGGAAGUCUACUCAAAUGCCCACUACGAGUAGAAUGGUAAUUCAGCUGUGGUGUAUUUGUCCAAUAGAACACUGCCUCAGUGAGAGUGAAUAGUCUCCAAACACAUGGAUAAGUUUCAAAAUAUAAUACGGAGUUAAAGAAAUCAGAUGCAUACACAGUGUAUGAUUCAAUUUAUUUAAAGUUCAAAACAGGUAAAUUUAAUGCGUGGUAUUAAAAAUCAGGAUGGUGGCUACCCUUGUGGCAAUGGGGGCUGCCAGAAGGGAACAGAAGAUGGGCUUUUGAGAUUCUGGUCAUGUUCUACUUUUUGAUCUGGGAGCUGGUUACACAUGGUUAGUUUGCAAAAAUUCAAUAAGCUGUCCACGUAUAAUAUGAGCACUUCUCUCUCUCUCUCUCUCUC
rnacentral:lncRNA from 10 species